UACGGAGGGUGCUAGCGUUGCUCGGAAUGACUGGGCGUAAAGGGCGCGUAGGCGGUUCGUACAGUCAGAUGUGAAAUUCCCGGGCUCAACCUGGGGGCUGCGUUUGAUACGUGCGGGCUUGAGUUCGGAAGAGGGUCGUGGAAUUCCCAGUGUAGAGGUGAAAUUCGUAGAUAUUGGGAAGAACACCGGUGGCGAAGGCGGCGACCUGGUCCGAUACUGACGCUGAGGCGCGAAAGCGUGGGGAGCAAACAGG
rnacentral:rRNA from 1 species